rnacentral:ribozyme from 1 species
UGCCUAGCAACUCCUAUCCUUACCUCCUCGCGGUACUGGUCGGGGUACGAGUAAGCUUGGGGAAGAUCGGGUGGGCAACCCAGGUGGGAACUUUGGUCGUAUGCUGACAGGGAAGG